AGAGUUUGAUCCUGGCUCAGAUUGAACGCUGGCGGCAGGCCUAACACAUGCAAGUCGAGCGGUAGCACAGAGAGCUUGCUCUCGGGUGACGAGCGGCGGACGGGUGAGUAAUGUCUGGGAAACUGCCUGAUGGAGGGGGAUAACUACUGGAAACGGUAGCUAAUACCGCAUAACGUCGCAAGACCAAAGUGGGGGACCUUCGGGCCUCAUGCCAUCAGAUGUGCCCAGAUGGGAUUAGCUAGUAGGUGGGGUAAUGGCUCACCUAGGCGACGAUCCCUAGCUGGUCUGAGAGGAUGACCAGCCACACUGGAACUGAGACACGGUCCAGACUCCUACGGGAGGCAGCAGUGGGGAAUAUUGCACAAUGGGCGCAAGCCUGAUGCAGCCAUGCCGCGUGUAUGAAGAAGGCCUUCGGGUUGUAAAGUACUUUCAGCGAGGAGGAAGGCGUUAAGGUUAAUAACCUUGGCGAUUGACGUUACUCGCAGAAGAAGCACCGGCUAACUCCGUGCCAGCAGCCGCGGUAAUACGGAGGGUGCAAGCGUUAAUCGGAAUUACUGGGCGUAAAGCGCACGCAGGCGGUCUGUUAAGUCAGAUGUGAAAUCCCCGGGCUCAACCUGGGAACUGCAUUUGAAACUGGCAGGCUUGAGUCUUGUAGAGGGGGGUAGAAUUCCAGGUGUAGCGGUGAAAUGCGUAGAGAUCUGGAGGAAUACCGGUGGCGAAGGCGGCCCCCUGGACAAAGACUGACGCUCAGGUGCGAAAGC
rnacentral:rRNA from 1 species